rnacentral:rRNA from 1 species
AGAGUUUGAUCCUGGCUCAGAACGAACGCUGGCGGCAGGCUUAACACAUGCAAGUCGAGCGCCCAGCAAUGGGAGCGGCGGACGGGUGAGUAACACGUGGGAACAUGCCCUUCGGUACGGGACAACUCAGGGAAACUUGAGCUAAUACCGCAUACGCCCUAACGGGGAAAGAUUUAUCGCCGAAGGAUUGGCCCGCGUCUGAUUAGCUAGUUGGUGAGGUAACGGCUCACCAAGGCUUCGAUCAGUAGCUGGUUUGAGAGAGCGACCAGCCACACUGGGACUGAGACACGGCCCAGACUCCUACGGGAGGCAGCAGUGGGGAAUCUUGGACAAUGGGGGAAACCCUGAUCCAGCCAUGCCGCGUGGGUGAUGAAGGCCCUAGGGUUGUAAAACUCUUUCGGCGGGG